AUGCGUUUAGAAGCUGAUGCAGACCUUACUACGCAUGCUGAAUACUUCAUCAACAACCUCAAAGAGACAUGGAACCGUCAUUAUGAAAACUCAAAGGUCCAGAUCAGACAUUUCCCAAUUGAGUACGUGGCGACUACGAAUCAAGGAAAUCGGCAUGACUGCGGCUUUCACACGUUGGAAUACCUUGCAAAGUGGGAAGGUCGACGGGUUCCUGUCGUCACAACUGCAAUGGUCGUUGAGCUCCGCAAAAUUUAUACAUGGAAUUGGUUGAUGAAUGAAGAUUUCAACACGUGGUCCAACGCACGUGAGUUCAUAGAGGAAGAUGACAAGAAAGUGUGA
rnacentral:rRNA from 1 species